rnacentral:rRNA from 1 species
GUUUGAUCCUGGCUCAGAACGAACGCUGGCGGCGUGCCUAACACAUGCAAGUCGAACGGAGGCAGGGAGCUUUGCUCCUUGCUUUAGUGGCGCACGGGUGAGUAAUGCGUAGAUAAUCUACCUGAGGGUCCGGGAUAACAUCUCGAAAGGGGUGCUAAUACCGGAUAAGCCCACGGAGUCUUCGGACUUUGCGGAAAAGGGGGGGACCUUCGGGCCUUCUGUCCUCAGAUGAGUCUACGUACCAUUAGCUAGUUGGUGGGGUAAAGGCCUACCAAGGCGACGAUGGUUAGCUGGUCUGAGAGGAUGAUCAGCCACACUGGAACUGAGACACGGUCCAGACUCCUACGGGAGGCAGCAGUGGGGAAUUUUGCGCAAUGGGGGAAACCCUGACGCAGCAACGCCGCGUGAGUGAUGAAGGCCUUCGGGUCGUAAAGCUCUGUCAGAGGGAAAGAAAUGUGCGAGGGUUAAUACCCCUUGUACUUGACGGUACCCUCAAAGGAAGCACCGGCUAACUCCGUGCCAGCAGCCGCGGUAA